GAAUGCUUGAUUAUUGAUUGUUGAAAAUUAAUUAAAAUUUGAAAUUUGUAUUAUAAUUUAUAUAAAUUUUGUAUUAUAUUAGAUGUAUAAUCUUGCACCUUGGUUAUUCUGAUCUCAGAUUAUUUGAUUAUUGAUUGGUAAUGAGAAUUAAUUAAAAUUUGAAAUUUGUAUUAUUAUUAGAUAUAUAAUUUUGCAUUUUAUUCUGAUUCCAGAUUGCUGACAUUUUUAUAUUUCUUAUGAAUGAUUACUUGAUUAUUGAUUGUUGAAAAUUAAUUGAAAUUUGAAAUUUGUAUUAUUAUUAGAUAUAUAAUCUUGCACCUUGGUUAUUCUGAUCUCAGAUUACUUGAUUAUUGAUUGAUUGCUGACAUUUUUAUAUUUCUUAUGAAUGAUUGCUUGAUGGUUGAAAAUUAAUUAUAAAAUGUAUAAUCUUGUAUCUUGGUUAUUCUGAUUGGAGAUUGCUGGAUUAUUGAUUGGUAAUGAGAAUUAAUUAAAAUUUGAAAUUUGUAUUAUUAUUAGAUAUAAUUAGAUAUAAUUUUGUAUCUUAUUCUGGUUCCAGAUUGCUGACAUUUUUAUAUUUCUUAUGAAUGAUUGCUUGAUUAUUGAUUAUUGAUAUUGAUGGUGUUGAGAAUUAAAAUUUGAAAUUGGUAUUAUUUUGUACGAUGAAGAUAGAUUUAGUAUUAUUAUAUCUAUAUAGAAAAGUUUUAUUUAAAUAUUGUUUUGUUAUAUUGAUAUUUUUCUAUUUUUUCUUUUUAAUAUUACACUUGAAAUAUAAUUAUAAGAAAUAAUUAAUUGAACAUGUUAUAAUAAUAUCUAUAUUGAAACCAAUUCAAAUAUUUUCCACAUAACAAAAGUAGCCUAAUCCUGUAUGUACAUAACCUAUAUAAUGUUUCAAUAGGAUAUAUUUGACAGGAAUAUAUUUACACGUGUAUAUCUAUAAUCAAAAUACGUUCCAUACAACCUGUUUCAACAACAAAAUCGUUUCAUCCAGAUUAGCAUGAGCUAAGGAUGACGUUCUUCAUAAAUACCGUAAACAGUGCGAUAGUUUUCUAGAAGGAAAACAUCUUUCCAACGAGAGGCGAAGAGGGAAAGCUUGGAGGCACGUAACAGACGGGAGGGCGAGGCGGACAAAAGAAGAUUAGGGAGAUGGGUGGAAGGUUAGAUGUUCAGCCUUUACGACGUCUAACAUGGAGGAUUUAGUCGGCAAUGUUACGAAAAUCCUCUCUCUUCGAUAAGAGCAUUUUCCAAGCACGAUGACGUCGACGUGCCAUGAAAAAACGAAAUAAGAAUCCCCAUCUAGAAAAUCCGAGCCAAAACGAAGAGACAAAUGCGAAUAGUAAUCACCCUCCAGACGGUCCAAUAUCCGCUCGGCUUCCCCUUUUACACAGGGACAACAAUUAGAAAGGAAGGAAGUGAAAGGUUCUUCUUGAGACACGGAAACUUCGUCCUUGGAAAUGGCAUUCGCUGUUAAUUACCAAAAUUUCGUGUAAGAAGCAAGGUCUGAGUGGAGAAGAAGGAUAAAGUUUGUCGAAUAUUUGAUAAUCCUCGAUGAGUUCGAGGGACUAUUAAAAUUCGAUUUAAACUUGGCUGGUUUUUAAAAGUGCUUGAACCAAUAAUGGAAAGGGAAUCGUUUAUUGAAUUUGUAGGAAAUGUGAUACGUUCGUGAAUAUUUCUAGAAUAUGUAUUUGUGCGAUGAAAAAAAAAAAUCAAAUAUUGUAUGAUUAUUUUUUCAUAAAAAAUAUUUGCUUUUAAUUUUAAAUUUAUAUAUGCGAAAUAUAUAUCUUCCGUUUAAAAAUUAAUUUUUAAAUUCUUACUCAUCGAUAUUGUGAUGAUUUUCUUUAAUUUAUUUCAAAUUUCUUGCUCCAAAAUUGUAAGAAACAUUAAAUAUCUACCGAGA